AGUGAACGCUGGCGGUAGGCCUAACACAUGCAAGUAGAACGGCAGCACAGUAAGAGCUUGCUCUUACGGGUGGCGAGUGGCGGACGGGUGCGGAAUACAUCGGAAUCUACUUUUUCGUGGGGGAUAACGUAGGGAAACUUACGCUAAUACCGCAUACGACCUACGGGUGAAAGCAGGGGAUCUUCGGACCUUGCGCGAUUGCAUGAGCCGAUGUCGGAUUAGCUAGUUGGCGGGGUAAAGGCCCACCAAGGCGACGAUCCGUAGCUGGUCUGAGUGGAUGAUCAGCCACACUGGAACUGAGACACGGUCCAGACUCCUACGGGAGGCAGCAGUGGGGAAUAUUGGACAAUGGGCGCAAGCCUGAUCCAGCCAUACCGCGUGGGUGAAGAAGGCCUUCGGGUUGUAAAGCCCUUUUGUUGGGAAAGAAAAGCAGCAGGUUAAUACCCCGCUGUUCUGACGGUACCCAAAGAAUAAGCACCGGCUAACUUCGUG
rnacentral:rRNA from 1 species